AGCAGCCGCGGUAAUUCCAGCUCCAAUAGCGUAUAUUAAAGUUGCUGCAGUUAAAAAGCUCGUAGUUGAAUUUCGGGACCGAUAUAUCGGUCGUGCCUCGGUACGUACUGGUAUUUUCGGUUUCUCCCUUCUGACGAACCUUGAUGUCAUUAAUUUGGUGUCUUGGGGAAUCAGGACUGUUACUUUGAAAAAAUUAGAGUGUUUAAAGCAGGCCCAAGCUUGAAUACAUUAGCAUGGAAUAAUGAAAUAGGACGUUUGAUUCUAUUUUGUUGGUUUCUAGGAUCGACGUAAUGAUUAAUAGGGAUAGUUGGGGGCAUUAGUAUUCAAUUGUCAGAGGUGAAAUUCUUGGAUUUAUUGAAGACUAACUACUGCGAAAGCAUUUGCCAAGGAUGUUUUCAUUAAUCAAGAACGAAAGUUAGGGGAUCGAAGACGAUCAGAUACCGUCGUAGU
rnacentral:rRNA from 1 species